rnacentral:rRNA from 1 species
AUUGAACGCUGGCGGCAGGCCUAACACAUGCAAGUCGAACGGUAACAGGAAGAAGCUUGCUUCUUUGCUGACGAGUGGCGGACGGGUGAGUAAUGUCUGGGAAACUGCCUGAUGGAGGGGGAUAACUACUGGAAACGGUAGCUAAUACCGCAUAAUGUCGCAAGACCAAAGAGGGGGACCUUCGGGCCCCUUGCCAUCGGAUGUGCCCAGAUGGGAUUAGCUAGUAGGUGGGGUAACGGCUCACCUAGGCGACGAUCCCUAGCUGGUCUGAGAGGAUGACCAGCCACACUGGAACUGAGACACGGUCCAGACUCCUACGGGAGGCAGCAGUGGGGAAUAUUGCACAAUGGGCGCAAGCCUGAUGCAGCUAUGCCGCGUGUAUGAAGAAGGCCUUCGGGUUGUAAAGUACUUUCAGCGGGGAGGAAGGGAGUAAAGUUAAUACCUUUGCUCAUUGACGUUACCCGCAGAAGAAGCACCGGCUAACUCCGUG